rnacentral:lncRNA from 1 species
CCUGAUGAUCCAAGUAUUGAAUAAGAAGGUAAUCCCUCUUGAAAGAAGUUGUGUAGCUGUUGGUAUUACAACACGGAAUAAAUUCAACGAAGAAAAAACAUCUUGCUCAAUUAUAUACGGAAAAUUCAUCAAAAAAGGGAAUUGAAAAUGCUCCAUUCCAGAAAAAAAAUAAUCUCACUAAAUAGAUAGCCGAACGUGCGUGCCAAGGGGUUCCCCGCGGUGCCGUCAUCCCUUCUUCUGCUUGCCAUCUCUGGUCAAGAUAAGACUCGGUACGUUUACUCUAAUGUUUCUUCUCUGUCUUAAUGUUUGAAGAUGACCGAUUCCUAGGUUCCUAGCUUUAUGACCUUCAUGAGGGUAUCAGUUUAUCACAUGUUCACUUCAUCAAUAUGAAUCUUGAAAAAGCCUUCAUAUAUUCUGAAAAAAACCUGAAUGGCACCCAUUAUCGAGCACGGGGACACCUGCAUCUGAAGGAAGUUAAAAUCCCAGUUAAUCAUAGUCAACAAGGUAGUGAAUCUAGGAACAUUCAAACGCAGGUAACAUUUGAAUGUCGAAAGAAAUAAAUUACUCUCCUGUUCCUUGCUGAACUGUAAAAUAAUUUCACAAUACAGGCUAACUAUUUAAGUCUUUGGAUUUAAGAGAUAAGCUACGGUUCAAUGCUUUGAUCGAGUUCCUCCCAAAGUUUAUCGAUACCCACUUUUACAGAUAUUUUUAAAACAUGUUUCAACUCAGAAUACUCAUGGGAACCCAAGGGGUUUCGCAUUCACGUACAAAGCUCCACGAGAUCGACAGUUGAACGUCGGUCGCGCGGCGCUUGAAGGGGAUCGUGGAUCGGCUAAGGUCAGUCUCGCGGCCUUACCCAAGCCAAGCGACGGAUGCGGCAGUGGUAGCCCCCGUGAUUGCACGGCAGAAGCGGCAAGAACUGGCGGCUGGCCGCCGUGGGGGCGACGGCAGAUAGUGCGAAGUGCAGGAACAGAUGACAGCAAGACCAAUAAGAACGUAGAUUCCCGUUGAAUCUGAUCUCUUCCCGCCGGCGACAGGUUCCGGCUGAGGAGGUCUCAGCAGCACCAACUGUAGGAAGUAAACGAGCCGAGGAGAGACCGCAGCUCGGAGUGGAGCUGUGGAAAUGCGAAGAGCGGAGAGAGAGAGAGAGAGAGAGAGAGAGAGAGAGAGAGGAAGAUCGUAUUGGGCUCCUCCAGCGGUUUUGGAUCACUGCUGGGUAGUAAUGGGCUUUAAGAGAGAGGGAGAUCGUAUUGGGGUCUUCCCGCGGAUUGGGAUCAUACAGAGCGAGAAAG